AAUGAACGUUGGCGGCAUGGAUUAGGCAUGCAAGUCGGGGGAAUCCCAGCAAUGGGGGAACCGGCGUAAGGGGCAGUAAGGCAUGGGUACCUACCUUGGGGUUCGGGAUAGCCAUCAGAGAUGGUGGGUAAUACCGGAUGACGUCGUGAGACCAAAGAUUUAUCGCCCUUAGAGGGGCCCAUGUGAUAUUAGCUAGUUGGUGGGGUAACGGCCCACCAAGGCGAAGAUGUCUAGCGGGUGUGAGAGCACGACCCGCGCCACUCGCACUGAGACACUGGCGAGACACCUACGGGUGGCUGCAGUCGAGGAUCUUCGGCAAUAAGCGCAAGCUUGACCGAGCGAUGCCGCGUGAGCGAUGAAGGCCUUCGGGUUGUAAAGCUCUUUAGUGGGGGAGAAAAGCCGCAAGGUGUGAUCUAUCCCAAAGAUAAGCACGGGCUAAGUUCGCGCCAGCCGCCGCGGUAA
rnacentral:rRNA from 1 species